GGACAAUGAGUAUAACCUCAGUGUAAUUGUGUCUUUUCUGAUAUAGAGACCCUUUAAUUGGCUUCCUUUGUUCUGUUGUAAUUUAUCCAGUACGCUCACUUCACAGUAGCUUUCAAACCAAAAAUCUUAGCUGUUUGAGAAUGACUUUAAAAACAAAACAAACAAACAAACAAAAAAACCUGGAGCUUACAUCUCUUUUUCUGGUCUAUAGAACAUCUUGAUAAUUGGCUUCACCAAGAAGAAACCUGAGUGUUAAAAUUCAUUCUGAUCAUAUAGUGUAUAGUCCUGCCCCUGCAGUUAGACAUGUUUUCUAUGAACUUGCCAGUGCCAUGGCUGAAGUACAACCUCUUGCUAGCUCUGGUUGAUAAUCACCGUCUUUACAACUUGGCUUGUAUGCUUGGUGCUUGGCAUUUCUAGAUUUUAAGUUCAGAUGCUGAGAGAGCUGUAGCUGAAUUAAGAGUUCUUUAUUUUCCCCCUGGUGUCAAGUGCAUCACUAAAUUCUCAACACUUAAUUAUCAUUGCGUCCCAAAAUAUUCCUCAUUUAGCAAAAAUAUUGAAAUGACUCGUUCCUGUUGAAGAAGCAAGCUCUGAUAUGCAGAACACUGAGAUGUAUGCGCCAUCGAGAACCCGAGGGAAUGAAUCUAUUUGAGAGCAUCUGCAGGGAAUAGUAGGGACCACAAAGCCCAUUUAAGGGCCAUGUGCCUCUUACCUGUAUUGGGCUCAAUCGGGCAACCAAUGUUUAGUGGCAACAACCCACUGUAUGAAGUUGACAGAAACAGGGAAUCAUCGCACUCUCAUCCGAGUUUAUUGGAGUGGCAUUAAAACGAGCUGUGAUUUCCUUCCCCGUCCCCACACUCCCUUCUAUACUCCACACAGGUGUCUCCUCUAUCCUUUUGUCUCUGGGAUUUCAUAUCAUAAUCUCUACUUAGAUCAAGGCACCCAAUAGUAAAAUAUUACAUAGCAGGAUGGUCUUAUUAAUAGCCAGAAGCAUCUUAUUGAGCAAGAACUGGAAGAAGAAGGUGCAAGCUGUUGGUUUUUCCAUAGAGUGAAGUAAGAGGAGAAACAUCUGUCAAAAUGCUUGCUCAGCAAAUAGACAUUAAACACUCAUUCAUGCCAGAGACUCUGAACAAGAUGAGGCCUCUCACCAUGAGCUUCAUAUUCUGAUAGCUAGAAAACAACACAAGCAGAGGUGUUACAAAGAAAAUAGACAUACAUUGGAUAACAACAUUGGUUCUUAGGAAGAAAAAGUGGAAGACUCAAAAGAUGACUGUCAGCAUGCUAUGUGUAGGCUGGCCUGACGGCCCCUGUAGGUUCUGGGGGAUAGAUGCCACACCCAGCUCAAAUGCCCACUCCCUCACUGUUCCCAUGAGUGUGGUUUUCAGUGGGCAAUGUCAGUCUGAGAAUGUGAAGACCCAACCAACUGACCUGAGCAUCUAAUUGUAUUAACUAAUCUACUUGGGGACAGCCCUGUUCUUUACACGAUUU
rnacentral:lncRNA from 1 species